GUUCCUUAUGAGACAUUUGAUAAAAUUGGAAAGAUGCAGAGAAGAUUAAAAAUAUGGACCCUAUUCAAAGAUGACACACGUAAAGAAGAGGCCCAAAUCUUUAUU